rnacentral:rRNA from 1 species
CCUACGGGGGGCUGCAGUAGGGAAUCUUCCACAAUGGGCGAAAGCCUGAUGGAGCAACGCCGCGUGGGUGAAGAAGGUCUUCGGAUCGUAAAACCCUGUUGUUAGAGAAGAAAGUGCGUGAGAGUAACUGUUCACGUUUCGACGGUAUCUAACCAGAAAGCAACGGCUAACUACGUGCCAGCAGCCGCGGUAAUACGUAGGUGGCAAGCGUUAUCCGGAUUUAUUGGGCGUAAAGGGAACGCAGGCGGUCUGUUAAGUCUGAUGUGAAAGCCUUCGGCUUAACCGGAGUAGUGCAUUGGAAACUGGGAGACGUGAGUGCAGAAGAGGAGAGUGGAACUCCAUGUGUAGCGGUGAAAUGCGUAGAUAUAUGGAAGAACACCAGUGGCGAAAGCGGCUCUCUGGUCUGUAACUGACGCUGAGGUUCGAAAGCGUGGGUAGCAAACAGGAUUAGAUACCCGGGUAGUC